AAACUAACAAGGAUUCCCCUAGUAGCGGCGAGCGAAGCGGGAAAAGCUCAAAUUUGUAAUCUGGCGCCUUCGGCGUCCGAGUUGUAAUCUCGAGAAAUGUUUUCCGUGUUAGACCGCAUACAAGUCUCUUGGAACAGAGCGUCAUAGUGGUGAGAACCCAGUACACGAUGCGGAUGCCUAAUACUUUGUGAUACAUUUUCGAAGAGUCGAGUUGUUUGGGAAUGCAGCUCAAAUUGGGUGGUAAAUUCCAUCUAAAGCUAAAUAUUGGCGAGAGACCGAUAGCGAACAAGUACCGUGAGGGAAAGAUGAAAAGCACUUUGGAAAGAGAGUUAACAGUACGUGAAAUUGUUGGAAGGGAAACACAUGCAGUCAGACUUGCUAUUCGGGGCAACUCGAUUGGCAGGCCCGCAUCAGUUUUUCGGGGCGGAAAAGCAUAGAGAGAAGGUAGCAGUUUCGGCUGUGUUAUAGCUCUUUAUUGGAUUCGCCCUGGGGGACUGAGGAACGCAGCGUGCUUUUAGCAUGAGCUUCGGCUUAUCCACGC
rnacentral:rRNA from 1 species